GCGGGGUAAAUGGGGGUGCUUUCCCCCAAGCUGAAUUUUGACGUAAUUUCUUUUGAUGUAGCUAGCAGGUGGCAGAGGUGUAUUUGAAAGUCGGCAGUAUCCUGACAGCGAUUAGAAUGUCCUCUGUCUGCUAGUCUUCUUGAUUCUUAAAUUCUGUAGAGCUCAAAUAGACAACAAAGCUUUGUGGAACUGAUUAAGUGUUAGCAAAAAUAUCUAGCCUUUAUCAUGUUGACCUUCCUCAAAAAAUGUUACUCCCUAUUUUUAUAUUUUCAUUUUAUAGAGCAGAAAAAAUAUUUAUUUUAUUUUUAUGCCACCACAGUGAAUGUACUUAUGAGUUUUAUGCCACUCGUAUACUCACAUGGGGCUUACUAUUUUUUAACAUUUUUAUUUUCUUUUUAGGAUAGUAUGAACAUGAUUAACUCAACUGUUUAAAAUAAUUGAAAGGGAAAUGAUAACUACCAAGUUUACCUCUUGGCAAGGCGUUCGGUGUAUUUAAGUCCUCCGAACGGGACUCUCUGUUUUCUUAGUCGUCCUAGGAUUCGUUGGGUGGCGUAGUCGGUGCCUCCGGCAGUGCCUCUUCUUCAUGUAUAGUUAUCUUCUCUUUCCACACCUAACUCGGUGCUACGGUCUCCUCUGGAUAAUUCUGUUUAAACUGUAUGUCUUGAGACCUUAUCACUUCUCCUUCGUAGUCUGCCCAUCCAUCCUUGAUGAUUUGCCUCUUCUGGUUGCGGUUGCAUCGUCUUCUCCUUGUCCUGACCUGUUUAGAGUCUUCAACGAUAUAGUUAGGGUGAGUAAAAUAGCGGCGUACCUUCUCUGAGGGAAAGUGCAUAUUGACUUCUCCAGUUCCAAUGUAGAUGAUUGCUUUAACAGUGCUGAGGAACGGUCUUCCAAGAAUGAUGGGUGGAUCGUAUUCGUCUUCUCCCAUGUCAAUAACCUAAAAGUCUGUGUAGACAAAAUAAUCGUCUAUUUUGACAGGGACAUCAGUUACUAUACCUUUAAUUUCUCAAAAUGUCUGAUCUGCCAUCUAGAGCUGAAUUGUAUGUUGGUUUUAAGGGCAUGAUUCCGAACAAGAGCCGAUAGGUAACUGCGGCCAUUAUGUUGACGCCCGAUCUGGUGUCGCAAAAUGUUUUGUAGAAGUUGUAUCCAUUUAUGGAGCAAUAGAUGCUUGGCAUUCCUGGGUCAUCCUUCUUGGUUAGAAACAGUGACUUAAGUCGAUGAUCUUGACCUCCUUGAACUGCAGUGACCAUCUUAGCUGACUUGGUCCACACUUGCUUGUUCCUAUUCCUCCUGUUGGUCCUCUUCCUUGGUUCACGUUGAGAUUGCUCUGGGAUUUGUGUAGUCUUGUUCUUGAAGGAAAACGUCUCCUUUCUCCCUUUGAUAUAGAAACUGAUCUUGGCAGCACUAGCAUAGAUGACAGCUCCCGAGGUUUUUAAGAAUGGCGUCCCUAAGAUGAUGGGUGCCCUCUCAUCAUUACCGGUCUCUAUCACCACGAAGUCUGCUGGGGCGUACAAGGUACCAACUUGGACACAAAGGUUCUUCAAUAUUCCCUUUGGGAAAUUUAACGCC
rnacentral:lncRNA from 1 species